rnacentral:rRNA from 1 species
CGGCUGAGUAACGCGUGGGUGACGUACCUGUUGGUGGGGAAUAACUGCCCGAAAGGGUGGCUAAUUCCGCAUUCGCCCGGUUCUUCGGUGAGCUGGGGAAAGCUUCGCAAGUGGCGCCGAUGGAGCGGCCCGCGUUCGAUUAGCUGGUUGGUGGGGUAACGGCCUACCAAGGCGACGAUCGAUAGCUGGUCUUAGAGGAUGAUCAGCCAGACUGGGACUGAGACACGGCCCAG